UCCCUGGUGGCUCAGAGGUUAAAGCGUCUGCCUGCAGUGCAGGAGACCUGGGUUUGAUCCCUGGGUCGGGAA
rnacentral:tRNA from 1 species